rnacentral:rRNA from 1 species
GACGAACGCUGGCGGCGUGCCUAAUACAUGCAAGUUGAGCGCUGAAGGUUGGUACUUGUACCGACUGGAUGAGCAGCGAACGGGUGAGUAACGCGUGGGGAAUCUGCCUUUGAGCGGGGGACAACAUUUGGAAACGAAUGCUAAUACCGCAUAAAAACUUUAAACACAAGUUUCAAGUUUGAAAGAUGCAAUUGCAUCACUCAAAGAUGAUCCCGCGUUGUAUUAGCUAGUUGGUGAGGUAAAGGCUCAUCAAGGCGAUGAUACAUAGCCGACCUGAGAGGGUGAUCGGCCACAUUGGGACUGAGACACGGCCCAAACUCCUACGGGAGGCAGCAGUAGGGAAUCUUCGGCAAUGGACGAAAGUCUGACCGAGCAACGCCGCGUGAGUGAAGAAGGUUUUCGGAUCGUAAAACUCUGUUGGUAGAGAAGAACGUUGGUGAGAGUGGAAAGCUCAUCAAGUGACGGUAACUACCCAGAAAGGGACGGCUAACUACGUG